rnacentral:rRNA from 1 species
AAGCGUGCGCAGGCGGUUAUGUAAGACAGAUGUGAAAUCCCCGGGCUCAACCUGGGAACUGCAUUUGUGACUGCAUGGCUAGAGUACGGUAGAGGGGGAUGGAAUUCCGCGUGUAGCAGUGAAAUGCGUAGAUAUGCGGAGGAACACCGAUGGCGAAGGCAAUCCCCUGGACCCUGUACUGACGCUCAUGCACGAAAGCGUGGGGAGCAAACAGGAUUAGAUACCCGUGU